rnacentral:rRNA from 1 species
CCUACGGGAGGCAGCAGUGGGGAAUCUUAGACAAUGGGCGCAAGCCUGAUCUAGCCAUGCCGCGUGUGUGAUGAAGGCCUUAGGGUCGUAAAGCACUUUCGCCUGUGAAGAUAAUGACUGUAGCAGGUAAAGAAACCCCGGCUAACUUCGUGCCAGCAGCCGCGGUAAUACGGAGGGGGUUAGCGUUGUUCGGAAUUACUGGGCGUAAAGCGCGCGUAGGCGGGCUGGAAAGUUGGGGGUGAAAUCCCGGGGCUCAACCCCGGAACUGCCUCCAAAACUCCCAGCCUAGAGGUCGAGAGAGGUGAGUGGAAUUCCGAGUGUAGAGGUGAAAUUCGUAGAUAUUCGGAGGAACACCAGUGGCGAAGGCGGCUCACUGGCUCGAUACUGACGCUGAGGUGCGAAAGUGUGGGGAGCAAACAGGAUUAGAUACCCUGGUAGUCCACACCGUAAACGAUGAAUGCCAGUCGUCGGGGAGCUUGCUCUUCGGUGACGCAGUUAACGCUUUAAGCAUUCCGCCUGGGGAGUACGGUCGCAAGAUUAAAACUCAAAGGAAUUGACGG